GUCCACGCCCUAAACUAUGUCAACUGGUUGUCGGGGAAGCAAUUCCUUGGUAACGAAGCUAACGCGUGAAGUUGACCGCCUGGGGAGUACGGCCGCAAGGUUAAAACUCAAAGGAAUUGACGGGGACCCGCACAAGCGGUGGAUUAUGUGGAUUAAUUCGAUGCAACGCGAAAAACCUUACCUACCCUUGACAUGUACGGAACCCUUCAGAGAUGAAGGGGUGCCCGAAAGGGAGCCGUAACACAGGUGCUGCAUGGCUGUCGU
rnacentral:rRNA from 1 species